AUGGACAUGAGGGUACCUGCUCAGCUCCUGGGGCUCCUGCUGCUCUGGCUCCUAGGUGCCAGAUGUUCCGGCCAAACAGUAACCCAGAGUCCAUCCGUGGUGUCUGCACCUGUGGGAGACACAGCCACCAUCAAAUGCGAGUCAGAUAAGAGUGUUGCUUACAACAAUUAUCUAAACUGGUAUCAGCAGAAACCAGGGCAACGUCCAAAGCUCCUGAUCUAUGCUGCAUCCACUUUAGAGUCUGGGGUCCCCUCGAGGUUCAAGGGCAGUGGCUCUGGGACAUCAUUCACCCUCACCAUCAGCGGGGUGCAGGAGGCAGAUGUAGGAACCUGCUACUGUCAAGGAGAUUUUGGUAGCUGGACAUACAGUGAUACAAGCCUGAACAAAAGCCUCCUAUGA